rnacentral:lncRNA from 1 species
UAGACACCACCAAUUCUCUGAGUAUCUUCCUUCUUGAUCUCCUGGGUGGUCAUUGAAUGAGUCAGAUGUCCUUUACUAAUAUCUAACUCAUUUUUCCUUUUGUGAAUGACUAUUCUCUCUCUCUCUCUUUUUUUUUUUUUUCCUGUUGCUAGUUACUCCAGCUAUUUUGCAGUGCCAAAUUAAGCUACUAGGGGCUGUCUGGUAAAGGAGUGUGCAGAGAGUACUGUCCCUCACCAGACUGCGCUCCUUCAUUUCACAAUCACUUUUGAAACCCUCCUAUGUGCAGGUAUUGUGCCAAGUGUUGGGAGUAUCCAGAGCCCUUGCUCUCCUGGAGUCUAUACUCUAGUAUCUUUCUCUUACACUAGACCAGUGAAAAAAAAGACAUCUGGGUUUCUACUUACUCCUAGGUGUGAGCCUGUGCCCUGCUACUUAGUAACAAGCCAUCAAACCUCUGGGACCUUGGUUUCCUCACCAGUAAAAGCAAGGAUAAUAAGACCUUAACAGCAUUGUUGUAAGUAUUAAGUGUCAUCCUAUACAUAAAUAUAAUCUGCAUGUGCAAGUAUAAGGUAUUAUUUCUAUUGACUCUCAUACAGAUUCCUUCCCCCCACUUUUUGUUUUUGAUUAUCUCUUUAAUUGAGUCAAAAACGUUUUACCUAUUUGAAC